AGCAUUUUCCACAGAGUUGACUGGUACAGAGUGGUUUUGGAUGAAGCUCAUACCAUCAAGUCCUCUAAAACUCUAGGUGCCCAGGCUGCCUUCAAAUUGUCAUCCUAUUGCAUGUGGUGUCUUACUGGUACCCCUCUUCAGAACAAGUUGGAAGACCUUUAUAACCUACUUUGCUUCUUGCAUGUUGAACCAUGGUGUAACUAGGCUUGGUGGCAAAAACUGAUUCAGAAGCCAUAUGAGAGUGGUGAUUAUAGAGGGAUAAAGCUGAUCAAGGCUAUU